UAAACUCUUAUCUGUCACGUGACGUGCUAUAGACCUGGGAUCCGUUUUAUAAUCAUUUCAGGUUCAAAGAUCUGAAAAGACAUAAAGGAAGCAGUCACCCCAGUGGUGUUUGUGGAGAGGUAUUCCUUCAGAAAUGGAGAAGACAGAAAGCUGCAGAGGCAGGAUUGUUUGCAGAUAAUGCUGUUCUUCUUUUUCAGAAGUUUUUGGUGAGCCAACUCUCACAAACCUUCCUAAAAACUAAAAGAGCUAUUACUGAGUCUCGGCUAAUCUUGCCAUGGUCAGCUCUUCCCAGAAGAGAAGGAAGACCAAGGAAAUUAUUUGCUCAGGAUGAGAAAUGAAGAUGGCCAUCUUGUGCUCAAACAAACAGAAGUCCUCUGAUGAUCUCAUCAGCCAAAUGAGGGGUUUUGACCAAGUGAUGCUCUUGAAAGGAGUGAAAGAAGAGGAUGUGGUAAAUUGUCUUAAAGCAGCCUGAAGAAUG
ensembl:lncRNA